rnacentral:misc_RNA from 1 species
UUCCAGUAUUACUAACAAAAGAAAAACAACAAUUUGAGUACAACGUCACAUCUACAACUAUAUCAACGCACGUUUGCAUGAGGAUGUGUAAUUGUUUUCGUCACUGACAAGGAUCGGAGUACAUGCAAAGUCUGCUGAAUGAAAAUGAAAUGAAUUAAAAUAAAGUCAGUUUGAAAUAGGGGGGAGAGAGAGAGGAUGGAAACCCAGCAAAGUACCAACUAGGGAAGUGGCUAACACAGUUAAACAUGCAACAGAUUGCUGAAGACAGGAGAUAGCAAGUUCACUCACCCACCUGAAUAAUGCAAAGAGGGAUUGCAAGACCACUAGAUACUCAACCUUUAACCAUAAAAAACUCAAUGCCACAUGGCGGAGAACACAGAUCUUUUGUACAAAAGAUCCUCUCGACAAUCAGUUUUGAUAUCUUUUCUGAUUGCAUAUAUUUCUAUUACUGCUGGCUCAAACUUCCAUUCACUUAAACUUAAUUAUUUAUACAAAAGUUGAUUUCACAAAUUGUUUUUGGUCAUUUAAAGAGGAAUGAGAUGCUUAUAGCUAACCAUGGAGGGCAAAUAGCAGCACACAAAAUAUUCCUCAAGGAUAGAAAGCUCUCAUAAAAUGAUUACUAUUUGCCUAUAUUUUGGUGGACUCCCUUAGAAAUCCUAAUUCUCCAAAGAAAAG